UUCAGUAUUACAGAAUUUGAACAUAAAUGCUCGGAAUCGCAUUUCGUUAACUCCUUCGCGUUUACAAUCUGCGCUAUAGCGAAAAUGAAAAUGCGCGCGCCUUAGUCAGUGUUUUGUUCAGAUCACUUGCGUCUGUUUGUAUCAUUGUUCCCAGUUCGCUGAUGCUGUGGUGUACUUUUUUCUUUCGAAGUGGCGAGUUUUCGAUGUUCCCUUAUAAUUUCGCACUCAAAAAGUUGAGAGUUAACAUUUGCUCCUUCUUAUUAUUAUACGUUCUUUGAAAUUACUAUGCUUUAGGUUCAUCUGAAAAAGCUCGCUGUAACUUUUUAACAGAGGCUUCGAUAGUGGGUCAAUUUGAUCACCCUAUCUUCAAGGGGUGGUUACUCGUUCCAACGCCGUUAUGGUUAUUACCGAGUAUAUGGAAAAUUGUAUCCUCUAUUCGUUUUUACGGGUAAAUGAUGGGAAAUUUCAAACUUGGUACUUAAUUGUCAUGUUACGUGGCAUAGCCAGUUGAAUGUCGUAUCUAAGUGACAAGAAUUACGUCCAUCGCGAUUUAGCAGCUCGAAAUGUGCUAGCCAAUGCUCAACUUAUAUGUAGAAUUGCGGGUUAUAGACUUCCGGCCCCUAUGGACUGCCCGGAAGCAUUGUAUCAAUUAAUGCUUGAUUGCUGGCAAAAGCAACGUACUCACCGGCCUAAGUUUUCAAGUAUAGUUUCAACUUUGGAUACUUUAGCCCGACAACCGCAGGACCUGCUAACAACAAGAAAUUCACCCGAAAACGAUGGAUAACAUAUCUUAGAAGGACAGCGUGCUCACAACAUAUUUAUAAGUACAGAAAUGUGGUUGGAAAACAUUAAAAUGUCCCGCUAUUCACAACAUUUCAAGGAAGCAAAUUUGGUGACUGGCCAACAGAUCUCCCGGUUAACGGCACAACAAUUAUCCGAUAUGGGUAUAACUUUAGUAGGACAUCAAAAAAAGAUUUUACAUCAAGCCAGACAGUUGGACAUUAUAAUUUAGAAAAAAAAAAUUAUUUGUAGACUCAUUCCGUGUAUAUAUAACAUUAUUAUUAUUAAAAAAUCGUUCAAAAUAAUAAGUAUUAUAUUUUCUGAAUAUGCGCGGAUAAGCAUAAGAAAUUCGUUAAAACAACUAUAUCUUUUUAUUUAUUUUUAAUAUCACUCGUAGAUAUCUAUAAUCUACUACAUCAACGUAAUUUUUAUAAAUAUUUAUACUCAAGGUUUGAUUUCUAGACAAUUAGCUCUUUACCCGAGAUAUUUUCUCAAUGCCUAUAAUACAUGGAAAUAUAAAAUUCUUGUAUGAUAUAUUUGAACACAUCUGUCUAACUCCACUAUUUAAACCUAAAAUUUGGGUUAUUAUAGAAAAUAUGUAAUAAGGUGUAAAUAAUGCAAUUGAGAUAUUGAUAUAAAGGAAUUACUUAAAUUGCAUGUAUCCCGUACGAACAUAUGACAAGUGACCAGUUUUCCACUAGUAUAUUAUUAGUCUGGGUUUCAAAUGAAGAGAAGGGGAAGAAAUUAAGUUUAAUUUUUCAAUACUUUACUGCUUUUGAAUUAUUCCCAAGAAGAGUUCAAGAUGAAUAUUAUCUAAAUAAAUUGUACAAAUAACUUUUACCAAAUUAACAUUCCUGCUGCCAGUUUAGCAUACCAAUUACAAACUUGCUAUUAUUUUGCAUAACAUUUUUUAAAUCAUGCA